rnacentral:rRNA from 1 species
CUUUUCGAUCUGAUAAAAAUGGAAUUAGUACUAUAAUGAGUUAUAUGUAUUGUAGACACCAGACGAAGCAAUGGUUUAUCCAAACUUCAAAAAUAAAAAUCUAUUUUUUAAUCUGUUUGUGAGAAAGCGUGAAGAGAGCCAAGAGACUUUAAUUUUGGAUUUCAACAAUAAGAAAUAAGAAAGAAUUUUACGAAUUGUACAGACGAAUUCGAAUUAGCCAAUAAAUCGGCUAUCGUCUUUU